GAUGAACGCUGGCGGCGUGCUUAACACAUGCAAGUCGAACGAUGAAGCCCAGCUUGCUUGGUGGUUUAGUGGCGAACGGGUGAGUAACACGUGAGUAACCUGCCCUUAACUCUGGGAUAAGCCUGGGAAACUGGGUCUAAUACCGGAUAGGAGCGCCUACCGCAUGGUGGGUGUUGGAAAGAUUUAUCGGUUUUGGAUGGACUCGCGGCCUAUCAGCUUGUUGGUGAGGUAAUGGCUCACCAAGGCGACGACGGGUAGCCGGCCUGAGAGGGUGACCGGCCACACUGGGACUGAGACACGGCCCAGACUCCUACGGGAGGCAGCAGUGGGGAAUAUUGCACAAUGGGCGAAAGCCUGAUGCAGCGGCGCCGCGUGAGGGAUGACGGCCUUCGGGUUGUAAACCUCUUUCGGUAGGGAAGAAGCGAAAGUGACGGUACCUGCAGAAGAAGCACCGGCUAACUACGUG
rnacentral:rRNA from 1 species